rnacentral:rRNA from 1 species
GACGAACGCUGGCGGCGUGCUUAACACAUGCAAGUCGAACGGAAAGGCCCUGCUUUUGUGGGGUGCUCGAGUGGCGAACGGGUGAGUAACACGUGAGUAACCUGCCCUUGACUUUGGGAUAACUUCAGGAAACUGGGGCUAAUACCGGAUAGGAGCUCCUGCUGCAUGGUGGGGGUUGGAAAGUUUCGGCGGUUGGGGAUGGACUCCCGGCUUAUCAGCUUGUUGGUGGGGGAGUGGCUUACCAAGGCUUUGACGGGUAGCCGACCUGGGAGGGUGACCGGCCACAUUGGGACUGAGGUACGGCGCAGACUCGAACGGGAGGCAGCAGUGGGGAAUAUUGCACAAUGGGCGGAAGCCUGAUGCAGCAACGCCGCGUGUGGGAUGACGGCCUUGGGGUUGUAAACCGCUUUCGCCUGUGACGAAGCGUGAGUGACGGUAAUGGGUAAAGAAGCACCGGCUAACUACGUG